ensembl:lncRNA
AGAACCUGAUGGACUGCAGUCUGUGGCUGAGCAUACAUGCAUCUUUGUUUUACAGAUAAGGACUCUGAGACUUCAUAAUUGCUUAACAUCUCCAACCAGAAUUAGAACUUAGGUCUGCCUGAUUCUGGAACCUGUGUGCUUAACCAUACAUAUAUUGUGAAAAUCAAAUGUAUGUGACUAAUAACAAAGCUGAAGAACUGUAAUUCAAGCAUCGUGUAAUGCGGAGGGCAAGCAUGGCAGGUUAUUGGGUAGGACCUUCUGGGAAAGGUGACUUUAGGAACAGUUCUGGCCUGAGAGAAUGAUUCCCUUUUCCUUUGCAUAGAUUUAGAGGAUUUUGAGGGGCCUUUGAUUUUGGAUAGUCUGCCUGUAGUCCCUGCUCAACUGUAGAGAAUUGUUUUUUUCAUCAUAGCAGCGCUCUGGGUUGGCAGAGCAGGGUCUGUUGAUGAGAAAGCUGGACCUUAGAGAGUAACCAAGGCCAGGGAGAUGAUGGGAGUACCAUGAAACCUGGUGCCGUGCUGUGCUAAGUCACUUCAGUUGUGUUCGACUUUGCAACCAUAUAGACUAUAACCCACCAGGCUCCUCUGUCCACGGGAUUCUCCUGGCAAGAAGACUGGAGUGGGUUGCCGAGCCCUUCUUCAGGGGGUCUUCCUGACCCCAGGAAUCAAACCCAUAUCUCGUAUAUCUCUUGCAUUGACAGGCAUGUUCUUACCGUUAGUGCCACCUGGGAAGCCCAUGCUCUUUAACUCACAGGAUGACCUUUAGAAUCACACCAUUGUUUCCAUAUAACGAAAUUCUCAUUAGGUUGACCCAAAUAAAGGAAAAGCAGUUGGAAUUCUGGGGCUGCCUCUCUCCAGGGGUCAGGGUUCCUCAUCUGUCUUGAGUUUACCUAGUAAGCUCACAGACUUGGGUUUAUGUUUAUAUUAGCGCUUUCACUUGGUCUUUAAUGGGACCCCUAAGGGAGGGAAGGUGGAUGACAUCACUUGCCAGAUGGCAGGACUGAAGCUACACAGCUUUGACUCUGUCACUGACUUGACCUUUGGCCUUAGACAAGUAACGUAAGCCUUCUGAGCUUUGUAUGCUCCUCUGUGAAAUAAAAGUAUUCUGUUACCUGAAAGAUGUGAGGGGUAAAUAAAAUGCUAUGUGUGAAGCACUUAGCAUGGUCCUGGGGAAGUAGUAGAUACUCAGGAGUAAAUGGGAUGAGUUGAAGCUCUCAUCACCAUUGGCUCACUUUGAACCAGGGCCAGGGAACCCUCUUGGCUUCUGGGUCUCGGGUUGCUGUGAAUGAGGGGGCUUCCGCCGCACUGCCAGGAAUAGGAAAUCCUUGCAGGGAGCUUGGGCGUCUAUCAUGUUGCCCCUCCCGUCUCACAUCUGGCCUACUCUGGGGUAGCACGGGCUGGCUGUCCUCGGUGCCAGGCCCGCAGUGGAGCCUUAGUGCCAGCUUCCUGGGCCUCCUUUGUAAAAGCUCUAUAAGAUCUGCCCUGGUCAAAUGGGGGAGGGAUGUUUGGCUUGAUUCUGAAUCUUACUCAUUGAAGAACUGCCACUUCUCUAUCACUUUAGUAUUUCACAGCUAUAUUGGUGUCAGGGAGUUCGGUGUAUCCCUUGGCAGCUUGUGAGGGGUGGGCAGGCACCUGUGAGCUCCUUGCCUCAUGUGAAAAUGACUUCACCCUAGGAUGCCAUUGGUAGUUCUCUUGCCUGCUACUGUUAAAUUCCUCCGUCUUAAACGCCAAUUCCUCUUAAGACCAAUCUUUCCUUAACCUGUAAGAUUCUUGAACCCUGAUAAAUGUAAUGUUUUCCUUCUAGCUUGCAUUAUGGUGUUUGAUCUUACCUCUUCUUUUCUCCCAUGGUAGGUGAUGUCUCUACUGGAAAAAGCUCUGGAUUGGGAGUUGGAGGUGCAGGUUCUAGUUGGGGCAUCAGAAUUUCCUUGGACAAGUUGCUGUACCUUUUUUGAGCCUCAGUUUCUCCAUGUGUAGAUAAAAUGGUGUUCAACUCCUUUUUGGUUUAUAUCUUUUUAGCAGUAGGCCUCUUUUAUUCCAAGUAAAAUCUUGCAUAGAGCCCUGUUAUAGAGACUGAAAAUGUAUCAUGGGGAACAGAGCUGCUGUGAUUUAAGCAGCUAAUAUUAAAGAGAAACAGUAUGGAAUAAAAAGAAAAAUACAUAUACUUUGUAAUAGAGGGAACCUAAGUAUGAGUUCGACUGUGUCAGUAACUGGCAGUGUCAGAGCAAACUAAUACUUCAGUUUUCAAUAUUGAUUUACACAUUUGUAAGUUGAGCCGGUGAUACCUGCUUUUUAGCAGAAUUGUCAUAAAGAUUAGGAAGAAUGUAUCUUCAUCCCCCAAUGAAUGUUCUGUCAGACAGAGGGACAAAGAUUGGUCUGUUACAGAAUUACUCUGAUAGAAGAGCAUCCAAUUUUACAUUAUUCGUGGGUUCAAAUGGUAAGUCACCCAGUGUGAUUUAUUCUUGAGCUUAGGCAUUUAUUCACUUCAGCAAACACUUGUUUAUAUAUUGUUCAUUUUGCAGGAGGCCAUUAUAGAGACUCUAGAGCCAGCCUGCCUGGGUUUGAAGCUUGCCUCUACUGUUUACCUGCUGUAUAAUCUUGGGCAAGUUAUUUAAUAUUUUCUUGUGGGGAUAAUUAAUAAUGCCUACCUCCUCAGGAGUUUUGUUUUUGUUUUUUAAACUGGGGUGACAAAUUCCUGUCCAGUCUUGUAGAAAGAGAAAAGUUAGAGCACAGGUUGGAGGGAGAGUCUGGUAGUGUAGCACCAGUGAUAACAACUCGAAAUUUAGCAGGUGGCUCGUCUGUCCUCAGUAGCAUGUUUCUAUAUUCUGGUUAUAGACAUCUUUUCUGCCUCAUUCAAACGUGCUGUUGGUUUGUUCAGUUGCUUUUUAAAUAAAUGUUAGCAAGCACAGGUUUGGGGGAGGGUCUCGUAUACCUAGAAGAAAUAGGAAAUUAUCUUUAGUCCCUCAUUUUACAUACGGAGCAGGGGAGGGUAUAAGCUUAACUAAUAAGCCACAGCAUAUGUGCUGGCAGAACCAAAUUGGAUUCUAUACAUAGUUCAGGACUUUGUCCCUGUUACACAACAAAGGACUCACUUUUUAGAAAGACCAGAUAAACAGUUCUUAUUAAUGAAAAGUAACAAAACAUAGUAUUUAAUAAAUUACAGGGAAACAGGAAGUCUGAGGACAUGGGGUUUUCCCCCAGAGGUUGUGGGCCAUCAGAUUCUCUUAAGUGCUUAGAAGACUGAAAGUGAGAGGUGGAGCUGCCACACAGGACUCAAGUGGGUAGAGGUUUUGAGCCAGGGCUCGCAGGGGAGGGGGUUUCUGAGUGCAGUGUGCGUGGCUUACGGAAUGGUGUUCUCAAAUGAUACACGUGCUGCUGCCUUACCAGAGGUGGGGACUUACUCAUCUAACUGGAAGUCUAGGCUCAGAGUAGCUCAGUCAGUUGCCCAAGAUCUGCAGCUUCAAAAUAAUGAAACCAUGUUUCAGCUCCAGAGCUGUCUGAUUCCAAAAGCCAAUGUGUUUCCUACAAGACAUGCUUGCCCCCUUCAAGUGAGAAUGAACAUUCUCAGAAGGGUUGAGCUCCAGUUGGAGCCACACCUUUGGAGGACCUCUGUAAAAAGGGAAAGUUCCAGAGCCUGAAGCAGGCUGCAUUGCCCUGUGUUUUCCCCCUAGAGUGAGUGGGUGUGUAGAUGUCCACCAUGUGGGUUCCUCAAGGUAGGGAGAGAGUGCAUCUACCAUUUGGAGGCAGAGGCUGCUCCAGAGGGUGGAGCAAAGUUCUUCAGGUAGCCUUUGAUGGGACCAGUCUUAAUAUCAGGUUGCAUCUGUUCAGGUCAGGUGAUCAGGGCUGGGCUGAUAGUGAUAGAUGACCCUGUCCCCUAAAUGACAACUGGAAGGGCCUUGAGAGAUUAUUUAGACCAACCCUCUCAUUGUGUGUGUGUGUGUGUGUGUGUGUGUGUGUGUGU